GGAAACGUCGCCACGGAGCUCCUCGGGAAAUUCGCGUAGCGUCUGCAAGUCGGGGAAAAACCGAAAGGAAAUGUGCUAGCAAUGCCAUUGCGCUUGAAAUACCAGAAUGCCAGAAUGCCAGAGCACGGAUGACCAAUCAAAGGUGUGCCACACAUUUGGCAUUUGACCCGCAGCCAAUCAAUAAGUCACAUGUCGAACUAAAGUACUGUAUAUACUUGUAUGUUAACCCCACGGACAUUUGCUUAAUUAAGGGCUCAGACGUUUAUCGGAGAGGAAAGGCCGCUGGCACUGAUGAUUCUGUGCCAUUCUGCCAUUUCGAUUCUGGAUCUGAAGUUCUGAAGUUUGAGUGAAGUCAGUCAAGUUGAAUCCCAGCGAUAGAUUGCUGCGUCGACAACUUUGGCAAUCAUAUUUUUGGGGGACGUACAGAGAAACAAAUAGUUUUGUUAAGCGGGAAAGUGUCAUGGGAACUAAGGGAAAUAAGAUAUGAGAAAAGAAAAAUACCUCUGAAAUGUAAGUAACAGAGAACCUUUCCAAUUAUUAUACAUCUUAUUGAAUAUUUAUUAAAUAUAUUCCCCAGUGUACUGUCUUCAAUAUUUAUGGCACACACACUCGCACACACGAAGACGGAUAUGCCUUUGGGCAAUCGGGUGUUCGGUGUUUGGAGUUCGGUGCUCACCUCGUAUAUAUCAAUGCCAUGGCUGAGUGACCAGGAGGUCUGAAAGUAGUCUUCAAUGCGCUGCUUCAGCUCCUUGGGCAUCUGUAAUGAAGAGAUCAUAAAUUAUAAUUGCAUUCGCAUUGCUUUAGUUUCCCCUCCCCCUCCAUCUUGGCGUUAAAUGAGCUGCGAGGCGCGCUACUUUCACUUCAUUUGCAUGCAUUUCGCGGUUGAGAGCCGCACAAAUGCGCUUAAUUGUGCAGCGCAUUGCGUAUGCGGCGUGGGUGCAGCUCGUUGCGUAUACGCCGCGUGUGCUGCCUAAUGGAGCGACGCUCAAGUUUGCCCCAUCAACAGGUUGUAGGCCACGCAAACACGAUGUCCCCGGGAAUAUGCUAGUUGCUGGAUGCUGGAUGCUAGAAUCAGCAAUUCAUGGCCUUGAGCGACCCGUUUCCGUUCCAUUUUCCAUUUCCUGCCCAGCGUUGCGUGGCAUAUGGAAAAUGUGCGCUGCAUUCUAAUAAAAUCCAUCGAGUGGCA